GAAAUGACAAGAAUGUGCACCAAAUUUCUCAGAAAAGUGAUUCAGAUCAUGAUCCCACAGAAUUAUUUUUCUGUCUUUCCCGCCUCCAGUUAAUAACAUACCAUUUCUCAUCUGACAAAGUGUGAACACACUGCCAUCAUGAGCUUUGAUUUGUUUGCUGAUCUGAUAAACACCUAAUAUGAUGAGGAGUAAAAUAAGAACGUGAGUGAUAACAUUUUCCAUCAGAUUUUAGAGUCUUUUUGGAAGAAAACUUUAGCAGAACUGUAGAGUGAUUGCUGAAUGACUCAACAAUCAAAAACCUAUUUUCAGCAAGUCUUCUGCAAGGCAGGUAGUAAAGCUUUAAUACAACCUUUUGCAUUUAUGUCAAUAAUCAGUUACUCUGAAAAUAUUUCAAAAUACAUUCUUACAAAAAGGUAGACUAAAGCAGUGAUAAUUCCACAGACAACAGAGGGUAUAUUAACCUCAGAACUUUACUACCUUUUAUAAUCAUCUGACAUGGUAGUUAGGGUAGGUAUUAUUACUCUUCUGAUUUUAGAACUAAGGUAUAGAAUUGGCUUAGCCAAUACCACACAGUUAGCUACUGACAAAGCUGUGACUAGGACUCAGUCUCUUUACUCAAUGUUCUUUUAUGUUUGCAAAAAAAGCCUUCAUUUCCUCUCGAGGCAACAGUCAUAAUAUUUAACAUUUAACCACUGCUGAACUGGAGGACUUCUGCUCUGUCAGGGAUAAUAACCCCUUUUAUUUGCUGAGAUACUGGGGAAGGUGUGGGGCAGAAGAGGCACUGGCAGCUUGCAGCAGUGGCUUUUGACCAACCAGAAAAGUAUUUUAAAAACUGAUCCAGUCACACCAAUGUGAUAGCUGAAUGACAGCCCAGUUUUCUUGUAUGCUCUCAGCACUUCACAAGUACCCAGGAAGGGACAAGGCAGGUAUGAAAAUAUAAUCAGAGCCUCUUUCUUAAAGGUGAACAUAAGAUUUCAUGAUGCCUUACUCAGAGAAGCUCUUCAUUCAGCUAGUGAAGCUGCUAGAGUAAGAGAAAAACUUUUUAGAAGAUGAGAGCUUGCAGAAUUAGUUACCAGGUUCAAAAUGGCAAGGUAGAACCUGGUUUAAGUAUGACCAAAGUCAGUUAAUAAAUACACCUUAGAUCCCUUGGAAAUGAAAAAAAUUACAAGUUUAAAAAUUUUUCAGUGGGGGCUUCCCCCCCACUGAACAACGGGAGAGGCCACAACAGUGAGAGGCCCACGUACCGCAAAAAAAAAAAAAAAAAAAAAAUUGUUCAGUGGGGGGCUUCCCCAGUGGCGCAGUGGAUAAGAAUCUGCCUGCCAAUGCAGGGGACAAAGGUUCGAUCCCUGGCCCAGGAAGAUCCCACAUGACGCAGAGCAACUAAGCCUGUGCACCACAACUACUGAGCCUGUGCUCUAGAGCCCAUGCUCCACAACAAAAGAAGCCACUGCAGUGAGAAGCCCGCUCAUCACAACGAAUAGUAGCCUCCACUCGCCGCAACUAGAGAAAGCCCGUGCGCAGCAAUGAAGACCCAACGCAGCCAAAAAUAAAUAAAUAAAUAAAAAUUGAUAAUAAUAAUAAAAAAGUUCAGUGGGGAAAUGGGUGAAGGUGGUUAAAGGUACAAAUUUCCAGUUAUAAGAUAAAUAAGUUUUGGGAAUUUAAUGCACAGCAUGGUGACUAUAGUUAACAAUACUGUAUUGUACAUUUGAAAAAAGUUGCUAAGGUAGUGCAUCGUAAAAGUUCUCAGAACAAGAGAAAAACCUCCACUGUAUGAGGUGAUGGUUGUUAACUAAACUUAUUGUGGCAAUCAUUUUAAAAUAUAUACAUAUAUCAGAGACUUCCCUGGUGGCGCAGUGGUUAAGAAUCCGCCUGCCAGUGCAGGGGACAUGGGUUUGAUCCCCAGUCUGGGAAGAUCCCACAUGCUGCGGAGCAACUAAGCCCGAGUGCCACAACCACUGAGCCUGCGCUCUAGAGCCUGUGAGUCAAAACUACUGAGCCCACGUGCCACAACUACUGAAGCCCUUGUGCCUAGAGCCCGUGCUCCGCAACAAGAGAAGCCACUGCAACGAGAAGCCCACAUACCACAACAAAGACCCAACACAGCCAAAACUAAAUUAAAAAAAAAGGUAUUAAAAAAAAUGUGAACUGUAAAAAAAAAAAUUAAAAAAUAUAUAUAU